GGAGAGUUGCCCGAGCGGUUUAAGGGAACGGUCUUGAAAACCGUCGUGGCCAAAACCACCGUGGGUUCGAAUCCCACACUCUCCGCCA
rnacentral:tRNA from 1 species